rnacentral:tRNA from 1 species
UUAACUGAAACCAAAUAGAGGUUAAUUAUUGUUAAUAAUUAAAAUGAAUUUAAAAUAUUCCAGUUAAU